UGGGAUGUCGCCAAGCGGUAAGGCACGGGGUUUUGAUCCCCGCAUACGUAGGUUCGAAUCCUACCAUCCCAG
rnacentral:tRNA from 1 species